UACGUAGGGUCCGAGCGUUGUCCGGAAUUACUGGGCGUAAAGAGCUCGUAGGUGGUUUGUCGCGUUGUUCGUGAAAACUCACAGCUUAACUGUGGGCGUGCGGGCGAUACGGGCAGACUUGAGUACUGCAGGGGAGACUGGAAUUCCUGGUGUAGCGGUGAAAUGCGCAGAUAUCAGGAGGAACACCGGUGGCGAAGGCGGGUCUCUGGGCCGAUACUGACGCUGAUGCGCGAAAGCGUGGGGAGCGAUCCGG
rnacentral:rRNA from 1 species